rnacentral:misc_RNA from 1 species
GAAACAAGAGUACACGAGAGUAGGAGAGUAGGAGGAGGUGGAGGAAAGGGGCAGAAAAAGACGGGCGAAGGAAGACGGGUCGAGGGAGAGAGCUGGAAAAAUAUAACCUGUUGGACCGUGAGGGAGAGAGAGCGAAGAGGCGCAGGCGCGAACAGGACGAGCGAUUCAGUGAACGACAGCGAGAAAGAGAAGAAAAGAGAGGCGGCAAAGCGAGACAGCCUCGUUAGUUCAAGAAGAGGGGAACUCGAGGAGCGAGUGCUAGCGGAGGAAAAGAGAAAGAGAAGGAGCGGCUAUGCAUAGAGGGGCGAGAGAGAAGGACACAGACGUCCCGAACCUGCCUCAACUCCAACUUGACUUUCGCGGUUCGAUUCUGAUCGGAUCGAUCUAACUAGCGCGCCGGCAAGCAAACCGGCCACCGGUAUUUACUGUUGCUCUCUUCGUCGUGCGCGCGCUCGCCGCUGUACUCACGCGCCUUCUCCGCCCGUUUAUCAUGUGUUGCAUCGCGUUCGAUCGGCGUGAGCCGCGAUCGUUCUUCAACCGGGACCAUUUGUCCUUCCUUUUGCCAUUUUUCUUUUCCUUUUUCUACCCUUCGUCCUGUUCGUUGCUUUGCUUUCGGUCGGAAUGGACGCAUCGCCGCGAUGGACGAGAUUGCAAGAAUUAGAGAGCCGAUAGCGGAUUGCUUUGUUCGUAGUUUCCUUGAAAAUGAAACUGCACGGUAUUGGGAAUACGUAACUGUAGCAUUUUGUAAGUUGUUCGAUCGCAUCCCUGUAGCUUCGAACAGACAAAGUACGAGAUUUUCAAAUGAUAACGAGACCGUUUGACAACAUUUCUGGGUGAAUAACAAGAACGGAAUAUAUAUUUAACAUCUUAGAAUCGUUACCUCUUAAUUGGAUCAAGAAUAUAAAGAGAAAGAUAUUAUUCGCAAAUAAUUGAAUCAUUAAUGGCUCCUGGUUUCUUAACACGUUUGUGUGCUAAUAAAUGAAUACAUUGUUCGAAAUAUUCUCGAGUUCUAUUUUCUCAAUUUUCUGUACAUAAUACGUAUAUGCUAUAAA